rnacentral:rRNA from 1 species
CGCGCCUCAGGUCAGUAUUGGUCCAGGAAGUCGCCUUCGCCACCGGUGUUCCUCCUGAUAUCUACGAAUUUCACCUCUACACCAGGAAUUCCACUUCCCUCUCCCAUACUCAAGUCUUCCAGUUUCAAAUGCACUUCCGGGGUUAAGCCCCGGGCUUUCACAUCUGACUUGAAAGACCGCCUACGCGCUCUUUACGCCCAAUAAUUCCGAAUAACGCUUGCACCCCCCGUAUUACCGCGGCUGCUGGCACGGAGUUAGCCGGUGCUUCCUUCAAUGGUACCGUCAAUAUUAAAUGGUAUUGGCAUUUAAUAAUUUCUUCCCACUUGACAGAGCUUUACGACCCGAAAGCCUUCAUCACUCACGCGGCGUUGCUGCGUCAGGGUUUCCCCCAUUGCGCAAAAUUCCCCA